CAGAACCAGCAGGAGUUGUUUCCCUUGGGGCGUAGCUGUGCAGUCUGAGAAAAAUGAAGAUAUAAAAGGCACAGGCCGCCAUAGAGCCUAGCUCAACCUUGGUUCCCUUCCUGCACAACUACUGUGACGUUUGCAACAAGAAGCCCUCUGGCUUUAUUGUCAAGGGAAACAUGUUUACAUUGCCAAGCAAGUCUCUCAAGUGCUGAAGCUACAGCUGAAGAUCAGGGAGCAGCAGGACCUGCUCUUCUGCUUCAUGAACUUCCUCACGCUGGAGGGUGCAGUGCACGUGCUCCAGUUCUGCCUCACGGUGGAAACUGCUCCAGGACCCAGAGCUGAGCAACAGUCAGCUGUUGGCAGACUUCCCAUCUCAGUUCGUGGACAAGAUGCUGCCUGAUGUCAAUCUAGCUCUUCAAUGACCUGUUCAAGAACAACGCCAACCGAUCGGAGAGAGCAGAGAAGAAACACAACCAGAACUACUUCAUGAAGAUGAUCACUGUGGAAGGGGUCUACUUUAUGUACAGUUUGUGAAAAGUUAUUAAAUAUUAUACACCCCUAGUAAGUAUGGCACUCAGGGUAUUCAGUGCAGUACACUGCACAACAUAGUUUACCACAAUUCAUCAACAACUUUUAAGGGCUGGUUGACUGUACUGCAUGAUUUAAACAGAAGUAAACACAUUUCAGUUCAGUGAUGAAAAGACCAGAUUAGGAUGUGUCAGAAUUUGUAUUCAUUUGCGUCUAUUUUCCUCAGUUGACUGGACCUGGUUAUUUUAGAACUGUUUCCUGAACUGAACAAGGUAAAUUGAUGAGUUAUGU